UACGGAAGGGGCGAGCGUUGUUCGGAAUCAUUGGGCGUAAGGGGCGCGUAGGUGGUUCUGUAUGUCUACCGUGAAAGCGUACGGCUCAACCGUAUUUUGUCGGUAGAAACUGCAGGACUUGGGGCUGGGAGGGGCUGGUGGAAUUCCCUGUGUAGCGGUGAAAUGCGUAGAGAUAGGGGAGAACACUCGUGGCGAAGGCGGCCAGCUAGACCAGUUCUGACACUGAGGCGCGACAGCGUGGGGAGCAAACAGG
rnacentral:rRNA from 1 species